CCCUUAGAUGUUCUGGGAUGCACGCGCGUUACACUGAUUCGUUCAACGAGUUUAUGACCUUGCCUGAUGAGGUGGGGGAAUCUUUUCAAAUCGCAUCGUGAUGGGGAUAGAGUAUUGUAACUGUUAGUCUUCAACGAGGAAUUCCUAGUAAGUACGUGUCAUCAGCUCGUACUGAUUAUGUCCCUGCCCUUUGUACACACCGCCCGUCGCUCCUACCGAAUGAGUGCUCAGGUGAAUAGUAUGGACUGCAUCAGUGUUCGGUCUCCGAAUGUUGACGCGAGAAAUUCUGUGAAUCUUAUUGCUUAGAGGAAGGAGAAGUCGUANCA
rnacentral:rRNA from 1 species